UUAUUGUUCUCGGCUCUCUAUGAGCUAAGAUCAAGCGUAGUAUCUGUUCUUAUCAGUUUAAUCUCUUCUGAUGGACAUCUGCACACACCCGUCCUGAAGAUGGAAUCUCCUGCAGCCAUUUUUGAAAAAUACUUCACCUCCC
rnacentral:snRNA from 1 species